rnacentral:tRNA from 1 species
UCCCUAGUGGCUCAGAGGUUAAAGCGUCUGCCUGCAAGGCGGGAGACCCGGGUUCAAUCCCUGGGUCGGGAA